GGGGCCCCCUACUCACACAACACUUCCUUGCAAUCAAGAAGGUCCAUUCGCCCACACACGUACCCCCUGUCCGCCACUUGGGACCCUAUGUGGUGGUUACCGUCCUCCCCGCUGGUCCGGCGAGGGAGGCUUUUAGAUGCUCUUCUGAUGAAGCGGCUGUAGCCGCGAAACUAGUCAAGAGGCUCGAUAUGACUUUCAAACCCAUUAUGUUUUUCCCCCUUGUGGGGACUAUUAUACUGGUGCUAUGUUGGUCGUAGAUUGUUUGCAUUUUUUAACCCUGUACCUCCCUGUGUCUUUAUUGAUAUCUGUACCCAAUAAAAAUGUUUUUUAUUAUCUACUUGUUUCCUUGUACACUGUAUACCUAUGCUACUAGUACCGUGAUAGUCCAACAAUG